rnacentral:tRNA from 1 species
GUGUGGCUAGCUUAGUCGGUAGAGCAAGUGACUCUUGAUCUUGGGGUCAUGAGUUCAAGCCCCAUGUUGCAUG